CUUGCUUCUCUGAUGUUAGCGGCGGACGGGUGAGUAACACGUGGGUAACCUACCUAUAAGACUGGGAUAACUCCGGGAAACCGAGGCUAAUACCGGAUAAUAUAUUGAACCGCAUGGUUCAAUGUUGAAAGACGGUUUCGGCUGUCACUUAUAGAUGGACCCGCGCCGUAUUAGCUAGUUGGUAAGGUAACGGCUUACCAAGGCAACGAUACGUAGCCGACCUGAGAGGGUGAUCGGCCACACUGGAACUGAGACACGGUCCAGACUCCUACGGGAGGCAGCAGUAGGGAAUCUUCCGCAAUGGGCGAAAAGCCUGACGGAGCAACGCCGCGUGAGUGAUGAAGGUCUUAGGAUCGUAAAACUCUGUUGUUAGGGAAGAACAAAUUUGUUAGUAACUGAACAAGUCUUGACGGUACCUAACCAGAAAGCCACGGCUAACUACGUGCCAGCAGCCGCGGUAAUACGUAGGUGGCAAGCGUUAUCCGGAAUUAUUGGGCGUAAAGCGCGCGUAGGCGGUUUCUUAAGUCUGAUGUGAAAGCCCACGGCUCAACCGUGGAGGGUCAUUGGAAACUGGGGAACUUGAGUGCAGAAGAGGAGAGUGGAAUUCCAUGUGUAGCGGUGAAAUGCGCAGAGAUAUGGAGGAACACCAGUGGCGAAGGCGGCUCUCUGGUCUGUAACUGACGCUGAUGUGCGAAAGCGUGGGGAUCAAA
rnacentral:rRNA from 1 species